GGGCGGUUAGCUCAGUGGUAGAGCAUCUCAUUGACGUUGAGAGGGUCAUAGGUUCAAAUCCUAUACCGCCCA
rnacentral:tRNA from 1 species